rnacentral:rRNA from 1 species
AGAGUUUGAUCCUGGCUCAGGAUGAACGCUGGCGGCGUGCUUAACACAUGCAAGUCGAACGCAGUGCUUUAGCUUCGGUUGAGGCAGCUGCGUGGCGGACGGGUGCGUAACACGUAGGAACUUGCCCCAGAGAGGGGGAUAACCGUUGGAAACGACGGAUAAUCCCGCAUACGCUCCUUCGGGAGAAAAGCUCCGGCGCUCUGGGAUGGGCCUGCGGCCUAUCAGGUAGUUGGUGGGGUAAUGGCCUACCAAGCCUACGACGGGUAGGGGGCGUGAGAGCGUGGCCCCCCACACGGGAACUGAGACACGGUCCCGACGCCUACGGGCGGCAGCAGUGAGGAAUCUUGCACAAUGGGCGAAAGCCUGAUGCAGCGACGCCGCGUGCGGGAAGAAGGCCUUCGGGUUGUAAACCGCUUUUCUGGGGGACGAGCAAGGACGGUACCUCAGGAAUAAGUCCCGGCUAACUACGUGCCAGCAGCCGCGGUAAUACGUAGGGGGCAAGCGUUAUCCGGAAUCACUGGGCGUAAAGGGCGUCUAGGCGGCAAGGCAAGUCUCGCGUAAAAGCUCCCGGCUCAACUGGGAGAGCGCGCGGGAAACUGCCUGGCUAGAGACUCGGAGAGGGGUGUGGAAUUCCCGGUGGAGUGGUGAAAUGCGUUGAGAUCGGGAGGAACACCAGUAGCGAAGGCGGCACCCUGGCCGAGUUCUGACGCUGAAGCGCGACAGCGUGGGGAGCAAACGGGAUUAGAUACCCCGGUAGUCCACGCCGUAAACGAUGACAACUAGGUGUCGGGNNAACUCAAAGGAAUUGACGGGGGCCCGCACAAGCAGCGGAGCGUGUGGUUUAAUUCGAUGCAACGCGAAGAACCUUACCUGGCCUUGACAUGCAGGUGGUAGGGAACCGAAAGGGGACCGACCCUCGGGAGCCUGCACAGGUGCUGCAUGGCUGUCGUCAGCUCGUGCCGUGAGGUGUUGGGUUAAGUCCCGCAACGAGCGCAACCCUUGGCGUAUGUUUCACGUGUCAUGCGCAACUGCCGGCGUAAGCCGGAGGAAGGUGGGGAUGACGUCAAGUCAGCAUGGUCCUUAUGGCCAGGGCUACACACACGCUACAAUGGCCGGUACAAUGGGUCGCCACACCGCGAGGUGGAGCCAAUCCCCAAAGCCGGUCUCAGUUCGGAUUGGAGUCUGCAACCCGACUCCAUGAAGGCGGAGUUGCUAGUAACCGCAGGUCAGCCAUACUGCGGUGAAUACGUUCCCGGGCCUUGUACACACCGCCCGUCACGUCAUGGGAGUCGGCCACACUUGAAGUCGGUUAUGGGAAGCAUCCCGGCUGCCUAGAGUGGGGCUGGCGACUGGGACGAAGUCGUAACAAGGUAGCUGUACCGGAAGGUGCGGCUG